rnacentral:snoRNA from 1 species
UAGACCAUUGAUGAGAGGAGGCCAUGAGCCAAGGAUUAUGAUUUAUCAAAUUCUGUACACCAGAGGUACAAU